rnacentral:rRNA from 1 species
GACGAACGCUGGCGGCGUGCUUAACACAUGCAAGUCGAACGAUGAACCCGGAGCUUGCUCUGGGGGAUUAGUGGCGAACGGGUGAGUAACACGUGAGUAACCUGCCCUGGACUCUGGGAUAAGCGUUGGAAACGACGUCUAAUACCGGAUAGGACCUUGGAUCGCAUGAUCUGGGGUGGAAAGUUUUUUCGGUCUGGGAUGGACUCGCGGCCUAUCAGCUUGUUGGUGAGGUAAUGGCUCACCAAGGCGUCGACGGGUAGCCGGCCUGAGAGGGUGACCGGACACACUGGGACUGAGACACGGACCAGACUCCUACGGGAGGCAGCAGUGGGGAAUAUUGCACAAUGGGCGAAAGCCUGAUGCAGCAAAGCCGCGUGCGGGAUGACGGCCUUCGGGUUGUAAACCGCUUUUAGUAGGGAAGAAGGGCUUCGGCUUGACGGUACCUGCAGAAAAAGGACCGGCUAACUACGUG